AUAUAAAAGAAAGUGGCUAACAGGAUCAUGAAGCACUCUGGGGUUUUGAAGAAUGAGGUUUUGCUCUCAGAGAGGCGGAUGGGUUUUCUUUCAGGGUGGUUGCCUCCCCUCUCUGAACGACUGUGGAGCCGAUGAUUUCAUAAUAUAAGCAAGUCUUUUGAAAUAAACCGCUCUGCCAAAUGCAUAUUUGGCCCCUGAACUUUGUUUCGUUAUCAUCAUUCUUUCUCUUUCUUCUUCUUUUUCUUUUCUUUCAAUUGCGACUGCUGCUUUGGUUUAUGGAACCGAAUAAUAAAAAGAGGCUGUGAUGAUACUUUAUUUCCAGAGUGCAAAAUUAGACGUUAAAGAAUGCUUUGGUUGUUUGGCUUGGUAAUUUCGGGGUUCUUUUUCGGUAGAGAGCUCCUUUGUUGCAGCCUAUGGCCAUUAGUGUUCUUUUCCUCGUCUGAUUAAAGGCGGAUCUGAGCCUCUCUUUCCUCUCCAAUCCUUCUUUCAGUUUUCUUUUUUAUAUAUUGAAGACUUUUUUAAGUACGAAAUCAGAAAGUUUUUCAUCGUGUGUAUAUAUGUAGUAUUGAACUAACUGGUUCUUGGUAUAAAAUUUGGGUAUUGUUUUUCGAUUUUAAAUCUCACUUUACCUAUUUAUCGGAUUUUCUUUUUUCUGUCCUUUUGAAAAAAAAAAAAAAAAGAGGUUACUUCGCCGUUGCUUUAACAAUGGGGUGUGGCAAAUGACUGUUGCAAUUGAAGGAGAACCCAGAUAAGAAAAAUGAGAUUUCCGAAGCGACAGGACAACACGAAACAGUUGAUCAAUCCAAGAGAGUUAAUUGUUCAAAAAAAAAGUCGGAAGAGAGUAAUAUGUAAGAAAGCUAAACUCAUCGGAAAGAUGAUUAACAAGUUAAGAUGAACGACGUUUGGCUUGUAAUUGGAGGCAUCAACAGAAACUCUAUAAAAGUUUAACAAUAAAAUAUUGAUAAUGUUGUAGAACAAUAAUUUUAUUUGUUUGAACUGUGAAUUAAAAUAAUUUUUUAUUUUUCUUUUUAGAGUCGCAUCAAAUGUCUAAUUAUUUAUUUAAUUUAAUGAAUUUCGGGUAAUUUUUACAAAAAAUACAUUUUGUUUGUUUAUCAAGAUUAUUGGACUUAUUAAGGUAAAAAACCAGGAUUACCCAUAAUGCAUCGUUAUCUGGGAAUGUCUUGAAGAUAGCAUACCGACAGAAGUUCAUAGUUGAGGAAAUCUCACGCAUGCUGUACACGUGUCGAACAAGUCCAACAUCUGGUUAUUUAAGUUUACAGAAUUACCCCUCUAAAGUUUUACCAGCACAAUCCCAGAAAUUUCAGUGACCGAAAUACCCUUGCCAUUGAAACAGAACGUAAGGGUAAUCCUGGAAUAGAAGUGCUACAAGAAGAAGAUUUGUGAGCAUGUUUUAGAGAAAUAAGCACUCUGUUAAUUCGAGAAUGAGGCUUUGCUCUCAGAGAGGCGAUGGGUCCCUGAACUUAAGCGUGUUUCUCAUUCAUUUCAUUCUUGAGCAAAUUGCUAUUUCCUCCCUGAGUUUUGACCCUUGAUUCCACUAUUUCCUCUCCUCUCUGAAUGCCUGCGAAGCCGAUGAUUUCAUGGUAGGCCGUCCCCUGUAUGUGUGUUUAUUUAUUUAUUUAUUUAUUUACAGUUAUUUGCCCUAUCUCGAGGCUGUGAUGAUUGUCGUUUUCCAGUGUUCAAAAAAUCAGAUGAGAAAGGAAUGCUUUUAGGGUUGUUUGGCAGGGCAAUGUGGAGGUUCUUUAUGGAACUGGCUUUUUCCUCUUCCUUAUAGAGUUUCCUAAUUUGCAGCCAUGCCCAUUUGUGUUCUUUUUUUGUUUGAUCAAAGGCGAAGCUGAGCCUCUCAAUUUAUUUGGAGGUUCUGUGCAUUAUGUGCUUAAUAAUUUUUUUUUUUUUUUUCUCUCUCUCUCUCUCUACUGCCUAAACUGAUUACUUGCUUUAAGUCUAGCAUUAGUAUAACGUUUUUCGAUUUCAUUUUUCUGUAAAAUAAUCCAUUAAAUUGGUUUCAGUAAUCUGUAUGCUUCUUUGAUCUAAUCGGUCGGUUCUUUGUAUAAAGUUACAAUAUUGGGCUUAUCUACUUUUCACUUUUUGAUCCCUCUAAACCUUUUACUGCUGUCUACAACUAUGUUUGGUGCACUACUGCAGAUGGAGAAAAAAGAGAGGAUAUUUUGAUGAUAAUAAUAGUAAUAGUAAUAAUGAUGAUGAUGAUGAUGAUGAUGAUAAUGUUGGUGGUGGUGGUGGGAGUGGGAGUCGUGGCAAGGGAGAGAGAUAUUGGAGGACUUUUUGCCUUCUUUUAAGAAAGAGGCUUUGCUCUCAGAGAGAGAAGGGAGGGUUUCAAGGGCGGUUGACUCCUCUUGCUCUGAUGGUUAGCGGAGCUGAUGAUUUCAUUCUCUGUUUGUGUUAUUACCGACAGCCCUUUAAAAGAAAGGAAAAAAGGAAAAGAAAAAAAAGGAUGAUUAUAUCCAAAUCCAUCUCUCUCCUUCAAUUUGUCCAGAAAAAAGGGAAAUGAGCUUUUAUGUGGCACGACUAUGAUGAUAUGCUCUGUGUUUCAAAAAUAUCAGACUUGAGGAGGAAUUGACUAUUUUCAUGGCAGGGUAAUCUUUUUGGUUUGUUGCCAUUUCUUGGCUUGCCUUCAAGAAUUGCAGCCGUGUUACAUUGUCUUUUCCUUUUUCUGUCUCAUUUAUAAAGGCAAAUCUGAGUCACCUCUUUUUACGUACAAGAUUUGUUUAACAACGAGGCUCUGCUCUCAAAGAGAGAUGUGAAGGGAUUCUAAGGGUGGUUGACUCACUCUUUAAUAGCCAGCGGAGCUUAUGAUUUCAUUCUCCAUUUCUUUUUGUUACCAACAGCCCUUUCAAACCAGAAAGAAAAACAAACAAUUAUGUGGCAACAGUUGGAAAUCAGGAGCCAAAGUUAUUUUCUCAUUUGUUUAAGAAUGAGGCUUUGCUCUUGGAGAGAGAUGGUAGGUUUUUAAGGGUGGUUGACUCGUUUCUUUCUGAUAGAUAGCGGAGCCAAUGAUUUCUUCUAUAUUUUGCAAUACCAGCAUCCCUUGUGCAUCAGAAUCAUUUUGAUCUUUUUUUGUGUGUGUGUGUGUGUGUGUGUGCAAUGGCUAUGAUGAUAUGCCAUGUUUCAAAAAAUCAGACUUGAAGAGAGAGGGCUUGUUAUGGCGGGGUAAGUCUGUGGUGGUGGGAGAAAUGGUGUUUUUGCCAAUUGCUAUCAUUUUUUGGCCUGCCUUGCAAGAUUUGCAGCUUUAACAAUGGUGGUGUUUCCUUAUCUUGUCUGAUACUGUAUAUAAAGGGAAAUCUGAGCCUCCUGUUUUCUCAAUUAUGAUUAAUUUCUUAUAUUUGGCUCCGCUUUGUUUUGCUGAAAACGGUCAAUCUUGGCUUUUGUUUGUUUUCCUGAAAAUGGUUAAUUGAACCCCAAAAUAUCAGGGCUUGCUCCCACAGUAGCUUCUUCUUCAAUGGAUUUCCAAACAAAACCCCCGCUCUUUUCUGUGUACCUAUUCUCAGGAUGUCAUGCUUUUUAUUUUUUUUAGAGCUGAGAAUCAGUCAUUUUAAGGGGAGACACAGCUCUUAUGCGUUUCAAGACAUCACCUCUGGCAAUUUUGUUUUUCUUAACUUGGAUUUUCAGUUGGGUCCUUUUCUUUUUGGGAAUGAUUACUCAAAUACAAAUUUAAGUGGCAAUAUUAUUCAGUAGGAACCUAGGAUUUGACCUGAUAAAAUCAGUCUUCAGCAGUUUGUUUUUCAAUCUUUUCUCAUCUACCUGAUUCUGAUGUAACAGAACGGGGAUUUUAAAAGUUUCAUUGCAUUCGAGCUCUUGCAUUCUCAACUGCACUUGAAAUGACUGUAAACGAGUCCCCUUAAGGGGGCCAUUGGUGAUUUUGAUUAUAACUUCGUACACGAGGGAAAUUUUUCUUUAUCUUUUAUAACUUGAGAUAGCUGAUUGAGAGCUAGCAAUGGAUCACACAAUUAAGUUACUGAAGAGGGAUUUCUUGGCUUUAAAAGGAGCAACCCAAUCGCCAAUGAAAACGUGCAGCUGCGAGAGACUCGUUGCAAUCUAUGGCAACAAGACAAAAUCCUCUGAAAACACCCAAAGGAUGGGAGACCGCAAGUAGCAUUAGUUUCUCCAUUUGACAACCUAUGAUCACCGUCCACCACUACUCUCAUUUGCUGGUUCUUAUGCUAUAUCAUUAAACUUGAACAAAUUAAGCUGAAACGAGGAACACCCACAAUGCGUCGUCAUCUACCUGCAGAUAGCAGACGAGCAGAGGUCAAAGACUCGUAGUUGAACUUGAUGAGAACUCACGCAUGCUGGACACGCGUAUAACAAGGGCAACAUCUGGUUGUUUAGGUGUACAGAAUUACCCCUCUAGUGUCAUUCUUACUUUUACCAGCACCAUGUCGCUAAGUUAUCCACCACUUUGUAAGGGUAAUCGUGGAAAAAAGUACUGGAAUAAAAAAUCAAUGUCUCUUUCAAGAUUGAGGCUUUGCUCUCAGAGAGAAGUGUUUUGCUUUCCUUGAGCGAACCGUCCGUGAACUGAAAGCACUUUUUGCGUUCAUUUUAUUUUUUUCCUUUAUGGUGUUUGCCACUCCUCUCUGAAUGCCUGCGGAGCCGAUGAUCUCGUGCUAACCCGUCUUGCAUGUGUAUGUUUUGACUUCGUUGGUGGUUGUGUAGAUAGAGACAGAUAUUGCAGGACAUUUUGACUUCGUUUUAAGAAAAAGGCUUUGCUCUCAGAGAGGGUUCUAAGGGUGGUUGACUCCUCUUUCUCAGAUAGGCAGUGAAGCUGAUGAUUUCAUCAUAUCUUCUUUUUUAUGUUACUAACAGCCCUUUCAAAGAAAGAAAGAAACAAAGAAAGCAAUAAUUGUCAUACCAAUAUCCAUCCCUCUUUCUCCACGGAUAUGGCAGGGCUAUGAUGAUAUGCUGUGUGCUUCAGAAUCAGACUUGAAGAGAAAUUGAUAGUUUUCAUGGCGGGGUCAUCUUCUUUUGGUGGUCAUGAUGUGGUGAUUUUGCCAUUCUUGGCUUGCCUGCAGGAAUUGCAACCAUGAAUUAUGAUACUCCUUUUCUUGUCUGAUAUAUGUGCACACUCACAUAUAUAGGCAAAUCUGAGCCUCUUCUUUCCAGAUAUGUAUUUGGUUCCAACUUGUACUACCAAAAGAUCGAAUGAGAGAGAAAUGACUCUUUCCUAAGAAGUUGAUGGUGCAGAUUACUCCCUAAGCGAACCAUUGACAGACCUUUACCACAUUGAAAACUUUCUAUCACUAGUUUAAGAAUGAGGCUUUGCUCUCAGUGAGAGGUGGGAAGGAUUCUAAGGGUGGUUGACUCCCACUCUCUGAUAAGUUAGCGAAGCCUGUGAUUUUUCGUUCUCUAUGUUUUAUGUUACCAACAGCCCUUUCCAUGGAUCUGUGUCUCUGCAUUUUUAUACAAAUUCAGUUGCCAAAAUGGCAUUCUGUCUAUAAUUUUUGUCAACAGACUCCAUUUUCUGGUAGAGUUGGAAAAAUUGUCCUUGUUAGUUUGAGAAUGAAGCUUCUCUCUCAGAGAGAGAUGGGAAGGGUUCUAAGGGUGGUUGACACCUCUCUCUCUGUCAGAGAUAGCGGAGCCAAUGGUUUCUUCUCUAUUUUCCGUACCAACAGACCUUCCCAAAAAAGAAAAGGAAAUGUUAAUCAAAAUCCAUCUCUCUCUCUGAGUCUGCUGUGUAUGGACAUUUUUGUGUGUGUUCGUGUGAUGGCUAUGAUGAAAUGCUAUAUGAUCCAAAAUCAGACUAGAAGAGAAAUUGCCUGUCAUGGCGAGGUAAGUCUUUGGUGGUCGGUGAGAUGGUACUUUUUCGAAUUGCUAUUUCAUUGCUGACCUUCCUUGCAAAAAUUGCAGCCUCGACAAAGGUGGUGUUUCUUUUUCUUGUCUGAUUUCAUAUAAUAAGGGCAAAUCUGAGCCUCCUCUUUACAUAACUAAGAUAUCGCUUCUUCUUUGAAGGAUUGCAAGCAAAAAGCCCAUCUUUUUAUAUUCCAUAGUUCAGAAUGUGAUUCCUUUUCUUUUUUCCAAGAAAUCACAUUGGGAAAUCUUUGUGUUUUAAAUGUUAUUUCUCAAACGGUUUUCUUUUUUAAUCUUAUAUAUAUCUGAUUUUAAAUUGUAAUGAAACGAGUUUCAUUUUAUACGAGUUGUACUCUCAAAUGGGCAGACGAGUAAAUUUUAUAGAAGUUGCAUGCGAGUCCCUGUGGUUUUGAUCAUCAGUAAUUUACAAUUCUUAAGUAAGGUAAUUGUUAUUAUCUUUUAUUAUUUUAAAACUAAGUUAGCUGCAUUGAGAGGCAGAAAACAAUCAAACAACUUGGCUGUAAAAUGAGCACUCCAGGGACAAUUGGGAACAACAGCACUUUAGAAGAUGCACUGCGACUGUUGUAAUGUCUUGGCUUUAGAGGGAAUCACUGAUUCAAUUGGGCCAUUGCCCUCUCGUAAUAAGCCAGUCCUUAUAGCACUGCUGGACCUCUUUAUGCUUCUCUUGUUGGCUACAGUAGCAGCAAGAUUUUGACAAGUAAUUUUUAGAAUAGGAAUCAGAGCAAACAGAGGUCGCAUGGAGGACACGUGUAUAAAACCAAAGUCUUCUACUCUGGUUAGUUUAAUCUCCCCAAACGCUAUCACAAAAUUCAGUGACCAAAUUGCCCUCGUCUUGCCCUUUUCAGUUCUCUACCACUACAACAAAGAAAAAGGGUAAUCAUGGAAAAAGGAGUAGUACAAAAAAGGAUGACCCGUUGAUGUUUUAGGGAUUAAGCACUCUUGGAAAGAAUUGAGGUUUUGCUCUCAGGGAGGCGGAUGGGUUUUCUUGUAAGGUGGUUGCCUCCCCUCUCUGAACGCUUGCGAAGCCUGUGAUUUCAGUCUCCGCCUGUUUUUCUUUUCAAUGGAAUAACCGCCUUACAUGAGUAUGUGUAUAUACAUAUAUAUAUAUAUAUAUUUAUCUGGGAUAAAGCGUCAAUUUGGCCCCUGAACUUGUCUGUUUUCUUCUUCAUCAUCAUAAUCAUCUGUCUUUCUUUUUCUUCUUUUCUUUCUUUUUGAUGCAAGAGGCUGUGAUGAUACUGUUUAUCCAAGAGUGCAAUAAAUUGGACGUUGAGGAAUGCUUUUGGCUGUUUCGGCAUGUUAAUGAGGAGCUUUCUUUAUGAAAUUGGGAGAACUUCUCCCUGUUAUAGAGAGGGUCCUCUUUGCAGCUCCAUGGCCUUUGUGCUCCUUUUCUUGUCUGAUUAAAAGGCGGAUCUGAGCCUCUCUCUCUUCUAAAAUCUGUUCUUCCUCCGCCAAAUUCGUUCUUUUACAUUUUUGUGAAGUUUCUUUAUCAUUUUCUGUCUACAACAAUCUCUUGAGAUUAUAUCAGUAGUCUGUGUGUGUCUGAGAUAGCAGAUUAAGUUUGGAUAUUGGAUUUCUUUUGGAUAUGUUUUCUGUUUUUUCGAGGUAUGAUGGCCUCAUCACUUCUUAUUAUUAUUGAUAGUCUCUCAACACUGGUGUCAGGAGAGCAAUGGCUUUUCUUUGAAACUUCAAAGAUUACGCUGUGCAUAUCUAUGGAACUGCUAACAAAACCCAGAAUAAAGGGAAUAGAAGGGAUUAAAUUAUUAUUAUUUUAAAGCUGUGCAAAACCACCUCUGGAUUCUGGAUUUUCUUGUUGAGUGGUUUUGAUUAUUUGCAACUAUAGGAAGAGGUCUCUUUUCAUUGAUGGCAGACAUUCCUAAUUAAUUGAAAAAGCAACUCAGUAAAAGACAUAUCAUAUUGGUAACUUUAUUCUGUUUUAUUACAAGUGGAGCUACUUGAUUUUGCUGUUUCAGUGUCCAAAUAUGUGCUUACUGAUAAAUAGAGGACGUACAAACAAAAAGCAAAGAACAACUUUGAGAACUAAAUGUAUAGUCCCCGGCGAAUUUUUACCAGUAUAUCUUAAUGACCGAAAUAGCCUCAGUCAGUUAUUUAUCAGUAACCAAUUAAUACUAGUUUACACCACAAGGGUACUGUUGGAAUAAUAAAGCAGUAUAAAACGGAAAAUAGAAUGAAUUUUAAGGAUUAAGCACUCUGAAGUUGAAAAAUGAGGCUUUGCUCUCAGAGAGGCGGAUGGGUUUUGUUAUUUGGUGGUUGCCUCCCCUCUCUAAAUGCCUGCGAAGCCUGUGAUAUCAAAAUCUCCGCCGUUUCUUAUGAAAUAAACCGCCAUGCCAAAAUCCAUAAUUAGGCCCCUGAACUUUGCUUCUUUAUCAGCAGCAGCAGCAAUCUCUCUCUCUCUGUUUAUGGAACCGAAUAAUAAAAAGAGGCUGUGAUGAUACUGUAAGUCCAGAAUCCAGAGUGCAAAAGAAUGCUCUGGUCGUUUUGGCUUGGCAACAUCGGGGUUCUCUUUUUAUUAUUUCUUGAGAGAGCUCCUUUGUUGCAGCCACAUGGCCAUUUGUGUUCCUUUUCUUGUCCGGUUAAAGGAGGAUCUGAGCCUCUCUUUAUUUCUCUCUUCAAUUUAUCUUUUUCUCUUUUCGAAGACUUCUUCCAGUUUGAAAUUAUGAAGUUUUUCAUCUAUUUUCUGUCAAAAUGAUUACAGCCAAGCAGCCCGUUGUAUAAAAAGUUCGGAUUUUGGGUUUUUCUUUUUCUUUUUCUCUUCAUCUAGAUGCCGUUAAUGGUGGUGUAUUAGAUGACUAUUACAAUGCAGUGAUCAAAUUCAAGAGUCUCUUUGGGGUUUUGAUUAUUCUUUAUGAUAGAAUAGCUUUUACAGAACAGAAAUAUGCAAAAAGAAAACAUUACAGGAGAAUAUCUUGAUUUAUAUCAUUAAUUGGCCAUUUUCAUCUUAUUAAAUAUUUGCCUUUGGUAAAUUAAUAAAUUUCACUAAUUUAUUAUUAGCCAAAUUAAUCUAAAAUAUGAGAUUACUCUUAGAAUGCAUCGUUAUGCGGGAACAUCCUGCAGACAAUCAGAAGUCAUAGUUUGCAGAGGACUCACGCAUGAUGUACACGUGUAUAACAAAGCCAGCAUCUAGUAGUUGGCUUUACAGAAUUACCCUCUAAAGUUGUUCUAAUUUUUGGCAACACCAUCACAAGGUAUGGUGACCGAAAUACCCUGUCUCGCCAACUCCUCUGCAACAUGCAUUACUAUUUAGGGAUUCAGUAUUCCUUUGAUUCAAGAAUGAGGCUUUGCUCUCAGAGAGAAGUGGAUCGGUUUUUCUUGGUUAAUUUAUCACUUGGUGUCCUGACUUUAAGCGUGUUUCUCAGUCAUGUGAUUAUUGUUUCUGCACUCUCUGAAUGCCUGCGGAGCCAGUGAUUUCAUGGAAGCCCGUCAUGUAUGUGUCUUUUGUUUGUUUGUGUAUUUAGAGUUGAUUACUGUUUUUUUGAGGCUAUGAUUAAUUUUUGGAGUGCACAAAAUAGAGGAUCUUUGGUGUUUUUGUUGGAAUUGGUUUUGUCUUCUUCCUUUAGAGCUGCAAGCUCCCUCUUUUGCAGCGGUGCCCUUUUGUGUUCUUUUUCUGUUUGACCAAAGGCGAAGCUGAGCCUCUCAAUUUCUUUUUGUAUGUUCGCAAAUUUUUGUCUUAAUAGAUCUCUUUUCUUUUUUAGGAGUAUACUGCCUACACUGAUAGAUUGCUUCUUUCUUUUUAUGAAGUUAAAAUUUUGGGCUAUUUGUUUUUCACGUUUUGAUCUCUAAAGGUACUAUUUCUUUGUUGCUUUUUUCUUUUCUCGAAAACGUAAAGAAACUAAAGAAGGGAAAUGAGAAGAAAAUGAUAUUAAUGAUGAUGAUGAUGAUGAUAAUGGUGUUGGUGGUGGUGGUGAGAGAUAUAAGAGGACAUUUUGCCUUCGUUUUAAGAAAGAGGCUUUGCUCUCAGAGAGAGAAGGGAGGAUUCUAAGGGUGGUUGACUCCUCUUUCUCUGAUAAGUAGUGGAGCUGAUGAUUUCAUUGUAUCUCUUUUUAUGUUACCAACAGCCCUUUCAAAGAAAGGAUUAUCAUAUAUAUACACACACACACACACACGCAUAAAAGCACAAAGGGCCCCUUUCUCUUGUCCAAGAAGAUCAAACAAAGAAGAAAUGAGUUUUUAAAUGACAGGGCUAUAAUGAUAUGCUUUUCUGUUUCAAGAUUCGACUUGGGGAGGAGUUAGACUGUAUUCGUGGCGGUGUAAUCUUUUUGGUGGUCAGUGAAAUGGUGAUUUUGCCAUCAAGUCUUGGCUUGCCUGUCAAGAAUUGCAGCCAUGACUCAUUGUUCUGUCUUUCUCUUGUCUAAUAUACAUUAUGAAGGCAAAUCUGAGCCUCCUCUUUCCAGACAUAAGUUUUGUUUGUUUAAAGUUUGGGAAAUAGCUCCAAUAUGACCCUAAUGCUUACCCGUCUGGUCAUAUUUGACCCUGGUGAAGAUGGAUUGAGGGUGAAUCCUCAUUUCCGUCGAAUAAUUCCUACAUGAUGGCUUAUUCAGGUGUUUACUACUUUAAGUGUUUAUUUGCGCAUAAAAAAAAGUUCAGGGCAAAAAUGCACCUUCUCCCUGUUUUUUGGUAGACAGGAAUUUCUGUCACUAGUUUAAGAAUGAAGCUUUACUCUCAGAGUGAGAUGGGAAAGGUUCUAAGGGUGGUUGACUCCCACUCUCUGAUAGCCAGCGGAGCAUAUGAUUUCCUUCUCUUUUUUGUGUUGCCAACAGCCCUUUUGGGAAUUAUUGCAUCUCAGAUUCAAAAUCAGGGACCAAAUUGAACCUUGUUCAAUAAAUUGUGUCGAGGGAGGUACAAUCGGAGGACCUUUCUGUUAUUAUUUUAAGAAUGAGACUUUGCUCUUAGAGAGAGAUGGAAGAGUUCUGAGGGUGGUCGAGUCCUCUCUCCCUGAUAGAUAGCGGAGCCUAUCAUAUCUUCUCUAUGUAGUGCGCGUAAAUAAAAUGGCUAUGAUGAUAUGCUAUGUGUUUCAAUAUCAGACUUGAAGAGGGAGUGCUUGUCAUGCCGGGGUAAAUCUGUGGUGCGCAAUGAGAUGUGUUGCUCUCAUUUCUUGGUCUGCCUUGCAAGAAUUGCAGCCUUGACAGUGAUAGCGUUUGCUUUUCUUGUCUGAUAUUGUAAAAUGAAGGCAAAUCUGAGCCUCUUUUUUUCCGUUAACUAAGAUUAAUUAUUAUUAUUGCUUUGCUCUGCAGAAAAUGGUCAAAUGAAAUGCCGGCUUUCUUUUCUUUGAUGAAAAUGGUUGAAUUGAGGCUGAAAUGAUCAGAGCCUGCUCUCGAACGAGUUUCUGUUUCAUCUUUUUUUUUUUUUCACAUGAAAUCACCUUUCACAGAUGUUUUUCUUUUUUCUGAAUUUUAUUUUUCACAUGGGUCUUUUUGGUGUGAUCCCCUGAAUUCAAAUUUAAGUGGCAAUUAAUUCAGUAGAAAUGUAGGAUUUGGUCUUGUGAUCUUUUUUCAUCUACCUGAUUCUACUGUAACAAAACUGGAUUUUUAUUUUUAUGUUCUUUCUAUUCAAGUUCGUGUGUUUCUCAACUGCGCAAGUCUGAGAUUACUAAAAGUUGUACAUGAGAGAUUAGUCCCCUUACAGGGCUACUAGUGAGUUCGAUUGUAUAAAAUAUUUCACAGUUUGCUGAAUCUUGGCGGUAAAAUGUGCAACCCAAUUAACAGUAGGGACAAACAAAAUGCGAAGAGCAGUUGAGAGGAUGUGCUGCCAUGGAUUUAAUGUCUUGGCAUAUGCCAUCGGACUGUCUGGCCUGGGAGUAGGAACGCCUGACCUUAAAUUGAGUAGAUCAUUUACAGGGACAUAAUUGAGUUUGGAACUCUAGCUAUGAUUUGAUUGGGCAGUUGGGGCCUUGGUUAAUGUCCACCUGCGACAAAGACUCCGUUGCAAUCUAUGGCAGUGAUUUUAUCUUAACAAAAUAUGAAUUAUAUUCAUAUGAGAUUUAUUGAAAACAAAGAAUCCUCCUUGUUUCGCUUGAUUUUUAUCAUUUUGAAAUGCAGAACCUACAAAAAAAAAAAUAUAACGAGCCUAACUGGGAACAAAGAGGUCAUAAUUGAUCACCACCACUCACAAAAUUCAAUGACCAAAUUAUCCUCGUAUACCCUGAUCAGCUCUCUACCACUGCUAAGCAAAGAAAAAGGGCAAUCCUGGAAUAAAAGUAGUACAAAAAUGGAAAACGUUAUUGUUCUUUUAGGGAUCAAGCACUCUCGAGUUAAACGAGGCUUUGCUCUCAGAGUGGGGGAUGGGAUUUCUCCUAAGGUGGUUGCCUCCCCCUCUUUGAACGGCUGCGAAGCCUAUGAUUUCAUAAUCGUCGCUGUCUUUUAAUGACAUAAACCGCCUUGCAUCUGUAUAUGUAUCUGAGCGUCAAUUUGCCCUAAACUGUUUCAAAUGUGGCUCUUCUUCUUCUUCUUCUUCUUCUUCUUCAUCAUCAUCUUCAUCUUUUCUUUUUCUCGUGCUGCUUCUGCUGUUAUAAAACCGAAUAUAAACGAGGCUGUGGUGACACUGUCUUUUCAAGAAUGAACAAAAUUUAGACGUUAAGGAAUUCGUUGGCUGUUUGGCAGGGUAAUGUGGAGCUUUGUCCUCUUUUGUAGAGAUGGCUCCUCCUUGCAGCCCUAUGGCCAUUUGUGUUCCUUUUCUUGUCUGAUUAUUAGGCGAAUCUGAGCCCCUCUCUCUUCUAAAUUCUCCUUUCCUUAUUUAAAAAAAGAAAAAGAAAAAGAGAUUUCUGAACUUUUUUUUUCUAAAAGAAAUCUUUCUAUCCAGAACAAUACCUUAAUGACUUCAUAGCAGGUUUUAAAUUUAGGGUUUGGUUUUUCUAUCACUUUUACUGUGUUUCCUUCUUGCUGUGUUUCUUUCCGUGCAUUUUCUGUUCUUGCAAGCUUCAUGAAUCAUGUUUUUUUCUUUUUACUCGUAUUUAAAAAGGAAGGACAUUUGGCGUCAAAUUUUGUUGCCCAAAUCCACAUAAAUUCCUGCUAAAAUGCUCAAACAGUGGUAUUGAUCAAAGUGAAAAGACUUUUGCAUGGAUACAUUUUGGAUUUAGUUCUGAAAGUAAAAACAGAGUAUUGAUUUUCUUAAGAAACGAAUUGGUGCUAUUAAUGGUAUUUAACGAGUAAGAGUAUUGUUAUGUGACAUAAUUGGGCAUUACCCACAAGUAGUGGUUGCUAUUUAGUCCAAAGUCAUGCGAUAAUAAGACAUAAUUGUGAUCAAAUUCGAAGGGUCUUGUACUUUUAUUUGCUUGACCUCUUGAAAACCAGUGCACAAAAACCUGCAUCUCUGGAACAUCUCAAGGAAGUUAGCUCAUAUAUAAGGCAUUACUGGCAAAUUUUUAAUUAACAAUGUAGAUUUGCUUAUGAAUGGGUCGUGGCCCAUGGGAGUCAAUGGGACCCUUUGGGUCGGAUUUAAAAUGGGCUUUCAGCCCUGCACCCAAUUCACAAGAAAGGGUAAAUUUGGAAUAAAAUAACAGUCAACUUCACCAUAAAUAGUUUUGUGGAUUGAAACCUUGUUCUCUCUAUCAUUAGUUUAAGAAUGAGGGUCUGCUCUCAGAGAGGUGGGAAGGGUUCUAAGGGUGGUUGACUCUCACUCUCUGAUAAGCUAGCGGAUGCUGUGAUUUCAUUCCCUAUGUUUUAUGUUACCAACAGCCCUUUAGCAGAAAGCAAACAUUUUCUUCAUAUAUAUAUAUAUAUAUAUACAUGUAUAUUGGGCUAUGAUGAUAUACGCUGGGAGUUCCAAAAUCAGACUUGAAAGGCAAAGGUUGCUUCCUUCUCACGGCGGGGUAGUCUUUGGUCUACGCUGUACAAAGAAUUGCAGCUGUGAAACGGUAGCGUUUCUUUUCUUGUCUGAUUAUUGAGGCAAUAUCUGAGCCUCCUCUUUCCAGAUCUGUCUUAGUAUCUGUUUGUUUCGUGGGAAAAUACUUCGCUGGAAAGUCAAAACACAUUUUCUCUGUCUCUCUCUCUCUCUCUCUCUCUCUCUCUCUAUAUAUAUAUAUAUAUAUAUUAAUUUGAGGCUGUGAUGAUGCUUAUAGUUUUCAAGUUAAAUAUCAGACAUUUUAAGGAACAAAGCCCAUCUAUUUGGCGGGGCAAAUCACUUAUGCAGCCAUAGUUGUGGUGUUUGUCGUUCCAUCCUGUCUGAGAAAAGGCGAAUCUGAGCCUCCCUUAUUUCUACCCUAAAAUCACCCUUCUUCUUUUUUUCCCCCUUCGCCUUUCACAAUUUUAAAAGAAAAAAAUGUGUAUUAUUUUUUGUGUGAAAUUAAUUAGAAAAAUAGAAAACGGAAAAAGAAAGCCAAAAACAGGGGAUUUUCGUCGUGAAAACCAAAUGAACAAGAGCUGAAAAAGAUCUUGAUUCAAAUGGAGGAGGAACUGUAAACAAAUAGUGAUGGCAAAAAGCCUAUGAUUACCCGAAAACCAAAGUAAAGUGCCUAAUUAUUCGCGUAUACAGCAGGCCAAGGUCACUUGGGGAACAGAGCUCUCGCAUGAAGUACACGUGUAAAACAAAGGCAUCGUUCUUUAACCCCGGUACAAUACCAUUCAUCUACCCUGGUUAAUUAACUCAUUCACGAAUCUAUCCUCCAAGUUAUUUCCAAUUUACUAAUACCACUACGAAAUAAACGUAUGGCUAAAUCUGGAACUAUAUAAUCGAAAAUGGGUCUCUGCGCAGGGAUCAAGCACUCUGUUAGUGUUAGCUACUAUACUUCACCAAAAAAAAAAAAAAAAAAACUUUGUUUGUUUAAGAAUGAGGCUUUGCUCUCAGAGAGGUAGAUGGAUUUUCUUGUUGAGUGGUUGCCUCUUUCUCUCUGAACGAUUCUGAAGCCGAUGAUUUCAAAAUCGCCGCCUUCUUCCUUUUCAUGAAAUAAACCGCUCGACCUGUAGUGUUAAUUACUAUUAUCCCCUGAGGUUUGGCAUAAUUACAUUGGUCUUAUGAUCCAGCUGGAUCUUCUUCUUUGUUGUUACUCUUGCUGCUGCUACUGCUCUCAAUGAACCGAAUAUAAAAGUGGCUGUGAUGUUUUUUUUCUUUUCAUAUUUAGAGUGCCAAUGUCAGACUUUCAGGAAUGCUUUUGGUUGUUUGGCGGGGUAAUGUUUUGAGGCUCUUUAUGGUUGGCGUUGUACGUUUUCCUAGAGGUCUCUUUUCUUUGGCAGUCAUGGCCAUCUGUGUUCUUUUCUUGUCUGAUUAAAUGCAAAUCUGAGCCUCUUUGUUAUUUGAAAAUCAGAUUAAAUUAUCCUUUCGACACAUUGGAAAGUCUCGACUCAUUAGUUUAACAAUGAGGCUUUGUUCUCAGGAGAGAGAAGGAUGGUUCCAAGGGUGGUUGACUCCUCUCUCUGUGAUAGGUAGCGGAGCCGAUGAUUUCAUUAUUUUCUAUUUUCUGUUGCCAACAGCCCUAUCAGGAAAGCAAAAGCAAAGAAAAUAAAAUCAAAACCCAUCUAUAUCUCACUUCCUCUCCCUCUCUGUGUAUGUAUUCAGGGCUAUGAUGAUAUGCUCGGUGUUUCAAGAUCAGAUUUGAAAGAAAUUAACUGUUCUCUUGGCGGGGUAAUCUAUGGAGGCGGUCAGUGAAAUGAUGAUUUUGCCGUCAAUUCAUGGCUUGCCUGCAAGAAUUGCAGCCAUGAUACAUUGUUCUUUCUUUUCCCUGUGUCUGAUAAUAUAAAGGGAAAUCUGAGCCAUCUCUCUUUGUAGAUCUUGUUUUUGUAGAAACCAGUCUUAUGGAUAUCAAAAGCUCAAAUCUUUAUCUCAUCGAAGAUAAGGUUUUCCUGGGUCCUUUUUAUCCAUCUAUGAUCAUGCAUUUGAUUUGAAGAAGGCAGUGGAUUCUGUAAAUAUGAACCAAAAACUCCUUAUUCAAAAUAUUGAUCACCUAUAUAGAGAUUUGAACGACAUUCAAAUCUUUAAAUAUGUUUUCUUCUCUCCACCUUUUUUUAUCUUGUAUAAAGUUUGGAUUUUGGGGCCAUCUAAAUUUUCUUAUACUGUUUAACCCUCCCUUUAAAGAUCUUUGUUCCUUUUUUUGUUUGUUUUGGUUCCUGUUCUCUUUUCUAAAUGCUUCUAAUUGUCUACUUAUGCCCCCUUAAUCAAUGUGUAAUCAGAAUUUCACCGGACCAGAUGAGGUUUUCUUUCUUUGGAAAGAAAAGACAAUGAUUGAAGGGUAAUAUCUACAAACAGCGAUUAACAUUUAAACUAGCCAAAUACUUGUCUUUUGAACGGAAA
rnacentral:lncRNA from 1 species